rnacentral:tRNA from 1 species
GGCCUGCUGGCGAAAUGGCAUCGCGUCACAUUUCGGCUACCUAGUCAUACUGUGAAGAUUGUAGGUUCGAUCCCUACGUAGGUCG